rnacentral:rRNA from 1 species
UACGGGGGGGGGCAAGCGUUGUUCGGAAUUACUGGGCGUAAAGGCUCGUAGGCGGCCAACUAAGUCGGACGUGAAAUCCCCAGGCUCAACCUGGGAACUGCGUCCGAUACUGGAUGGCUUGAAUCCGGGAGAGGGAUGCAGAAUUCCAGGUGUAGCGGUGAAAUGCGUAGAUAUCUGGAGGAACACCGGUGGCGAAGGCGGCAUCCUGGACCAAUACUGACGCUGAGGAGCGAAAGCCAGGGGAGCAAACGGG